UAAGACCUUGCGCUUUUGGAGUGGCCGAUGCCUGAUUAGCUAGUUGGUGGGGUAAGAGCCUACCAAGGCGACGAUCAGUAGUUGGUCUGAGAGGACGACCAGCCACACUGGGACUGAGACACGGCCCAGACUCCUACGGGAGGCAGCAGUGGGGAAUUUUGGACAAUGGGCGAAAGCCUGAUCCAGCAAUGCCGCGUGAGUGAAGAAGGCCUUCGGGUUGUAAAGCUCUUUCAGUCGAGAAGAAAAGGUCGCGACUAAUAAUCGCGACUCAUGACGGUAUCGACAGAAGAAGCACCGGCUAACUACGUGCCAGCAGCCGCGGUAGUACGUAGGGUGCGAGCGUUAAUCGGAAUUACUGGGCGUAAAGGGUGCGCAGGCGGCUUUGUAAGUCAGAUGUGAAAUCCCCCGGGCUUAACCUGGGA
rnacentral:rRNA from 1 species